UAGUCCACGCCGUAAACGAUGAUUACUCGUUGUUGGCAAUACAUGGUCAGCGACUGAGCGAAAGCAUUAAGUAAUCCACCUGGGGAGUACGUUGGCAACAAUGAAACUCAAAGGAAUUGACGGGGGCCCGCACAAGCGGAGGAACAUGUGGUUUAAUUCGAUGAUACGCGAGGAACCUUACCUGGACUUAAAUGUAGAUUGACAGGUUUAGAGAUAGACUUUUCUUCGGACAAUUUACAAGGUGCCGCAUGGCUGUCGUCAGCUCGUGUCGUGAGAUGUUGGGUUAAGUCCCGCAACGAGCGCAACCCUUGUCUUUAGUUGCCAUCAUUCAGUUGGGCACUCUAAAGAGACUGCCGGUGACAAACCGGAGGAAGGUAAGGAUGACGUCAAGUCAGCAUGCCCCUUACGCCCUGGGCUACACACGUGCUACAAUGGUCGUGACAAAGGGUCGCUAAUCUGCAAAGACAUGCUAAUCUCAUAAACACGGCCUCAGUUCGGAUUG
rnacentral:rRNA from 1 species